GCUUUUCUCUCUGCUUUUUUCAGAAAAUCUGCACUUUAUGAAGUGAAAAAUGAUCUCCUUACAUUACUUUUACAUCAUCUGCUUCUCCAGUGCAGUUUUCCUCUCAGCGGACUCUCAGAUUUUAUCAGCUCCAGUGGGUUCCACAGUGGUCCUGCCAUGUCAGUGAAGAGAAACAUCUUAGUCCAAACUCCGCAUGUUCAGUGGAGCAAUGUUUUUGAGAUGGUGUUUGAGAGAAAGGUGUGAAGAUUUAUGAGGGUGAGGGAUAUGAGAACCGAGUGGAUGUUCCUCAGGACAACCUGCUUAAAGGAAACUGUUCUCUGGUGCUGAAGAAAGUCAGAAUCUUGGAUGCAGGAUUCUAUGAGAGCCACCUGUCUGUGAAGCGCAUGAAGAGAGCCAGCACUACAAAAUGGGUUUUACUGCAGAGCAUCGAGCUCGCAGUCUAUGAAACACCAGGAGGGAAUAUUGAUGUUAGUUUACCUGCUGCAGAUGGAGCAGGAGUAAAGAAUCCCCGACUGCAGACCAUCCUCCUUUCUCUUCUCUUAUGUCUACUCUUCAGAAGAGUGCAGGUUUGAGUUGAUGAUGGGGAGCAUUUGGUAAUGUGAAGAAUUUUAUAUUCUUC